UGUAAGGGAGCUACCAUUUGAUUUUUAUGGGGGGGCUAGGAUGAAAUUUGAAAAAAAUAGGCAGGACAAGAGUUUUGAGUAAAAAAAAAAGGCAGGAUGAGAAUCUUGUUAAAAAAAAAGGCAGGAUGACAUUUUGUGUAAAAAAAGUCAGGAUAAACUAGUAAAAAAAAAGGCAGGACCGAAUAGAGUAAAAAAUAAAAAGGCAGGACAGAGAUUACAACUAAAAAAAAACAGGACAAAAUUUUUUCAUCCUAGCCCCCCCAUAAAAAUCAAAUGGUAGCUCCCUAAGGAACUUUGAAUAUUGUUC
rnacentral:lncRNA from 1 species